rnacentral:lncRNA from 1 species
GUUGAAAACCCUAAACUCAUAACAGGAUGUGAGUGAAUCAAAUCUAUUUAAAGAAGCAAAACAAAUUUCCAAAGGAAACAAGGAAACUCAAUUUAAAAGAUUGCAAAAAAGUUUCUCCAUAUCCCCUUUAUUCUUUCUUAUAUAGGAAAAAAAGAUGAUCGCGCAUAUCAAACUUAAAGUAAAAAGCAAGCGUGUAUCAACAAUCAGAUAUUGCCUUAGGAACACAAUCAAACUCAACUACACUUGAGUGUAGAAUAAGCUACGUCACGUCGCUCUGUAUCUUAUCAUGUCACGUGUCAAAGAAAAAUGGUGAAACAUUUCAAUGAUGGGACCCUAUUAAAAUGCGCAUGUUCCCCAUUAUACUUUGACAAAAUCAAAGUAGUGCAUGUCAGCGGACACCUGGACAACCAUUCUCAAGGUUUGACCAUGAAUACUAAAAGACUCCUCUGACAUUCAGAAUGUAUGAAGAGUCUUGGGGGCAACUUUUUUGUAUUGGCCAAGGCCAUAAGGAGCCACAGCUUCACGUUAGUCAAAGACUUAAUAACACAAGGUCCAUUUAUUCAACCGAAUACUUUUAUAAAUGAUUUUCAAGUACACAAUCUUUAAUCUCUACUUACGGUUAGCUUAAAUCAUAAACUAUCUUGAAUGUUGGAGUUCUAACCGUGUAGGUACCCCGUCUGAACCACUAUACUGGAGAUUAGCAACACCGAUUCAAGAUCGACGUCAGUUAACAAGCGUCGAUUCAAGACCAACAGUUCCGGUUAAAGAAAUAGUGUGAUCAUAACCUUCGAUCCAUUGUACCACAACAAAGAACCACUUAUGAAGCUUCGCUCUGUUGUUGCUUUAGUAAUCACCUUCCUUUCUUGUUCUGCAAUGGAACAGUGAUAUUCAACAAUAUAAAAAAAUUAUAUAUUUAGAAAAGUAAUACAAUGACUUAAAGUUAAAAUAAGUAUAAAAUGAUAACUAACUUAAAUCAAGUGUUUUCAUUGAUUUUUUACCUAGAACAGAAUUCUUCCCCUUUUUCUUAACUCUCUUGUGUGUUUUUUUUUAAAGUUUCCAUUGUAUCGCUACAGUAACUCCUAAUAAAUUUGUAGUUAUUUUGAUUCACACGUUUACUCAUCUUUCUUACUUCCUCUUUACUCAAAACAUAUUAUUCCAACAUUGUAACUAUAUAUGCUCACUUAUUUUAUUUUAUUUUUUACAACUAAAAUAUCAUCUCUAAAAUGUUCACUAAAAUAUCAUCUCUAAAAUAUUUACAAUAAAAUAUAAUUAAUUUUAAACAAUAUCUAAAAUAAUUUAAUAUAAUCUAAACACUUAAUAUUACUUACUAAAUGAUCACCAUUUUAUAUAAUUAUCACAUUAAAAAAAUAUAAAUAAAUAAAAAAUUAAUCACGUACCUAGAAUUAAUCAUGUACUUCAGAUGACUUGUUAUGAGAGACUAACCACCAAAGAUACGAUGUAUUGCUUUGGUCUGGUACUUCAGAAGACUUGUUAUGAGAGACUAAUCACUAAAGAUAUGAUGUAUUGCUUUGAUCUGGUUGAUAAAACUACCUGUUAUUUAUGUAAGGAAGAUGAAAUAAUGAGAAAAAGGUUGGAAGAAAGAAAUGUGUUUUUAUUGAGAUUGUCUAUGAAGCUUGGUUGUACAGAAACAAUGGUUGUUUUGGAGACAAGCUGAGCAAUAGUAAUAUACAUCUCAAGAUUAUUGAUAGCAUAGUUUACUGUAGUUAUAUGAAUCCAAAACUUUAAACUCACAUAGGUACUUUGCUUAUGUCUUAAUCAGACGAUAUGGUUGGAUCAUCAUCCUUUAUAUAGAUUUAUGAAUUUGAUUAAUAAAGUAUUUUAUUGAUUAAAAAAUAAUUAAUCACGUUAUUGAUAAUACCUUGAGCUAAUUAUUUAUAAA